CUUACAAAAUAUUAAAUUGUAAAUCGUUGUAAGAGGCAAUCAGGGCGACAGGACAAAAGAGGUAGCAAGAAUGUUUUUUAUUGACGUAUGAGAAUUAUAGUUAAUUUUGCAUUUCCAUGACAUUACAGGCUUUGAAACAAACAGAUUAUUACUAGUGUGUAAAUAUGUUCACAUAAUUUAAAUAAAUUAAAAUGAAUGAGACAUAAUGUGUAACAUGUUAAAGGCCAGUUUCUCAUCUGUAGUAGCAAAUUCAUUUUUUGGACUACAAAAAAACGUAAAAUGCCCAAGUCAUAUUUGAGGAAUUAAAACAUUAAAGUAAAGACCGGGAGAAUCUUCUUUGUCAGGGGUACAUAAAGGCAUACAUUGUUAAAAAGUAAAGCAAAUGUGGGACUGAAAGGGAACUAUAGAAGCAAGGCACCAUAUAUGUACUGCACAUGUAGACUUCACUUCAGCGCUGGGAGUCAAACUACGUUCAGCGGUAUAGAGUGUACUUGAACAGUGAUUGCAAAUGAUUAAUAGAUAUAGCAGAUUCAUUCUCACAAGUAUCUUUCGGUAUAUAACAACCUUAGCAUUGAAGAGCAUCGACCCACACUGCAUCCACUUGCUGGAUGGAUUGAAACAAAGUCAGCUGAAUCCAAUUUUGUCGAGUGUUUCUUAUGGAUCUUAAACGUUUUCAUCUUAACCGUUUUCUCUGAAGUCCUGACGUCUGAUUGAAGGGGUUUGAGUCAGGGAAGCUUUGGUUGCGUUGCUCGUUAUACAGUAUGCUCUCCAUACAAUGGGAAUAACAAUAAUUAUUCUUCAACGAUAGACGUUGUCAGACAUCCACCCACAUUAUAAGAUAUACCUGAAUUCAUGGUAAAAUAAGAAAACACAACAGUAACUAGUUGUCUUUUGGGGCUAUACAUUCUACAGCAAAAUUCAUUUGGAUAAAGCAAAAACAGAGAUACACUUUUUAGGGAAUGAAUCCUUUAAAAAUGGGACAGCCAAAUAAGAGAAACGCUUGAAUGAACGCUUUCUCUUUGAGAGUAAUGUUCUUUUCAUCAGAUCAAAAGACCUUGCUUUUCUUCCGAACCGGGAGGUCAGCAGCUGCUCCGAUAACACAAACAACCCAUUGAACAAAAAACAUUCAGCUUGUUUCAACCCAUAACCGCUGGAUGCGUCGUUGAGAGGGAGCUACUACAGAUCAUUUAGCUUUGCUUUUUUUAACGAUAUGGCCCCUGGUCAAUAUGAGACCAAAUAAGAAACAAAUACGACACGAUUAACACAUAAAACACAGUCUGUCCCACAUGUAAACAUGCAUUCACAAGGAUGAGCUGGCACAUGUGCUUGUAUCUGCGUUAGGAUGCAUACGAUUUAACGUGUGAGUGUAUGUGUGCCAUAAUGUAUCGUGUAACUCACAGUUGACAUUCGCCAGAAGUACCAAAACCCACUAUAUAUACCCCAAACAUUGUGACACGUUGGGGAUUUGGGUGUCAAAAAAAAGUGGCUUCUCUCAAUCUGGGUUUGUUUUCCCUACAUGGUUGAAGAUUUCUUAUUUUGGACAUUUCAUAAUGCUAAAUGACACUCGCAUGCAUGCUCGCCGACAGGUCUUAAAAAAAACUAAAAUAACAGUACUUACGCUGAUUAUUUCUGUAUGCGCUAGUCAGAAAAUCAACGAAGGAGUUGCGAUUAUCUUAUCAUUGGAGAGACAAGCAGGUGACGGAUGGAAGCCUUUUCCAAGGCAACAUUCUUUUUCAAUGAUGGCACCUCUCACACAACCGGAGAUAGAGGUGACUUCUAGAGAGCGACCCCUCCAGACAGAGUGGAUGUAAGGCUUAGGUUUCUCUAACUACUUGCAUUGUUGAGAGUAGAUUAGCCGUGUGUACCGUUAACGCCUUCAUCCAUCGACUAAAAAACGUGUCCAUGCAAUGUCUUCAGGUCAAAACCAACCGACCGCAAUCGGAAGCCAUUUUGUCCCCGGCCAUUUCAUUCACCAACUAGUACUUGUGUUUGUUGUUUGUUUUAUUUUACAUUUCUGCUCCGCUUUUUUUUUAAAAAAAAGUUCCACUUUUAACAUCGCAGGCUUAACCUGGCAAAGAAUAAAAAACGAUCAUGCGAUGAUAUGUCAUGUGUUAUCGACCUGUAUGAAAAUAAACGAGCGACGAAUCGCUCCAUGUAAAAACGAGUGGCGCCCCAACUACACUCCUCCACACCGUCGCCCCCUAGUGGCAGGAAAAGGUCCUGCAGCGCUGCAGCCAGGCCCCCAUUAGAUUCAAUGGGGG
ensembl:lncRNA